AUGGCGCUCCCUCGCCUCCUCCUCCUCCAAUGGAGCUGCAGCAGCCUAACAAUCCUGCUGCUGGCCGGCGGCGGGGGAGUGAGAGAGGCGGCGGCGCGCACGGUGCCGGUGGAGUUCCUCUACCCGCCCUACAACCUCACCUACAUGCACUACAUCGACACCAGCGGCGUCUUCCUCCGCUCCCCCAACGACACCUUCUCCGCCGCCGUCUUCAACGCCGGCGCGGACGACUCCUCCGGCUCCGACUCCCCCUCCGCCGGCGAGGAGACCCAGAUGUCCCGCUACUUCUUCUCCGUCCUGCACGACCGCUCCCGCACCCCGGUCUGGGCCGCCACCGCCGGCUCCACCAUCGUCCAGUCCAUCAUCCUCUCCCUCAACGCCUCCGGCCUCUACAUCUCCGACCCCGCCGACCAGUCCGGCCCCUCCUGGUCCACGCCCCGCCUCGCCGCCCCCGUCGCCGCGCUCCGCCUGCUCGACACCGGCCAGCUCGCGCUCAUCGACGCCGGCAACGCCACGCUCUGGUCCACCUUCGACGCGCCCACCGACACGCUGCUCCAGGGCCAGGUCCUCCCCGUCGGCGUCCUCCUCACCGCCACCGCGUCGGAGCAGGACCUCUCCCCCGGCGCCUACCGCCUCCUCCUCACCCCCGCCGACGCGCUCCUCCAGUGGGCCUCCUCCUCCGACGGCAGAGGUGACUUCGUCACGUACUGGGCGCUCUCCUCCGACCCGGCGUCGGUCCAGGACUCCAACCGCGCCGUGCGAUCCAUGAUGGUCAACGCCUCCGGCAUCUACCUCCUCGCCGACGACGAUGGCCGGGACACCGUCUUCAGCCUCCGCUUCGCGUCGCCGCCCGCGCCGGCCACCAGGAUGCUCCUCAAGCUCGACCCCUCCGGCCGCCUGCGCGCGCUCAGCACGGCCUACUCCCCCACGGCGGCGCGAGCCACGCUCCCCGCCGUCUGGGCCGCUCCGGCGAGCGACUGCGACCUCCCGCUGCCGUGCGGCUCCCUCGGCCUCUGCACGCCCGGCAACAACGGAUCCUCCUGCAUGUGCCCCGACGCCUUCACCACGCACACCACCGGCGGCUGCUCGCCGGCCGACGGCUCCUCGCUCCCUGUCUUGUCUGACAGCUGCCUCGCCGGCAACGCCUCCUCCAAGUCCAAGCCGUCGUCGUCGGCAGCACCCUCGGCGACUCCUUACAGCUACACGAGGCUGGGCGACGGGAUCGGCUACUUCGCCGGCAAGUUCGCGCUCCCGACGACGGCCGGCGACGCGCUCUCGGCGUGCCGCGACCUCUGCUCCGCCAACUGCUCCUGCGUCGGCUUCGUCUACAAGAACUCCUCCAAGUCCUGCUUCCUCAUGCACAACCAGAUCGGCUCCAUGUUCCGCGUCGGCAACAGCGCAGCCGCCGCCGCCGUCGCCUUCAUCAAGACGGUCCCGCCGGCUCCACCUCGCGGCCAAGGCAGUGGCGGCGGCUCCUCGUCCCUGAGCACCAUCACCAUCGUAUUCGGCAUCGUGCUGCCGGCCGUGGCGGCCGUGUUCAUCACCUUCCUUCUCUACGUGCUGGGCGUGCACUGGCUGAAGAACCGCCAUGGCGGCGCCAGCACCAACGGCAAGGCCAAGAAGAAGAAGCACGGCCACGGCGGCAGCAGCUGGUUCAUGCUGCACAUGAUGCCGUCCUUGUCGUCGUCGCGGGCAUCGUCCAACGUACCCUCGGAGAAGGGGGACGGCGACGAAAGCGAGGACGACGACGACGAGGUACUCAUCCCCGGCCUGCCGACCCGGUUCACGUUCGUCGACCUGGAGACGGCCACCAACGGCUUCAAGUGGCAGAUCGGCUCCGGCGGGUUCGGCUCCGUGUACCGCGGCGAGCUCCCGGACCGGACCACCGUGGCCGUCAAGCGGAUGAACAACCUGGGCAUGCAGGGCCGGCGCGAGUUCCUCACGGAGAUCGCCGUCAUCGGCAACGUACACCACGUGAACCUCGUCAAGCUCCGCGGGUUCUGCGCCGAGGGCGCGCGGCAGCAGCUGCUCGUCUACGAGUACAUGAACCGCGGCUCGCUCGACCAGUCCCUCUUCUUCUCCCGCGCCGGUGCCGGCGCCGGCGCCGCCGCGAAGAAGAGGGACGUGCUGGAGUGGCCGGAGCGUCUCGCCGUGUGCGUGGGCGCGGCGCGCGGGCUGGCGUACCUCCACGCCGGCUGCGACCGAAAGAUCCUGCACUGCGACGUGAAGCCGGAGAACAUCCUGCUGGACGACCGCGGCGGCGUCAAGAUCGCCGACUUCGGGCUGGCCAAGCUGAUGAGCCCGGAGCAGUCGGGGCUCUUCACCACCAUGCGCGGCACCCGCGGGUACCUGGCGCCCGAGUGGCUCAUGAACGCGCCCAUCACCGACAAGGCCGACGUCUACAGCUUCGGCAUGGUGCUGCUGGAGAUUCUGCGCGGCCGCAAGAACUCCAAGCAGGACGACGAUGAGCACCACACCACCACCACCACCGGCAGCAGCACCAGCGCCGCGUCGUCGGACGGCGGUGUCGCCGGCGAGGCGACCAAGGCCAGGAGCAGCUACUUCCCGGCGCUGGCGCUGGACCUGCACGAGGAGGGGCGGUGCCUGGAGCUGGUGGACCCGAGGCUGGAGGGCCGGGCGGACGCGACGGAGGUGGCGCGGGUGGUGCGCGUGGCGCUGUGCUGCCUCCAGGAGGAGGCGGCGGUGCGGCCGGCCAUGACGGCGGUGUCCGGCAUGCUCGACGGCAGCAUGGACGUGUGCGCGCCCAGGACGGAGCAGCUCGCGUACCUCAGGAUGUACGGGCGCGGCCUCGUCGACGUCCGGCCCGGCGGGUGGAAGGGGAAGUGGAAGGGCUCGGACAUGACCGCCGGCAGCAGCAGCUGGUCGCCGCCGUCGUGCGUGUCGGCACAGCAGCUCUCGGCUCCCAGAUGA
rnacentral:rRNA from 1 species